rnacentral:rRNA from 1 species
AACGAACGCUGGCGGCAUGCCUAAUACAUGCAAGUCGAACGAGAUCUUCGGAUCUAGUGGCGCACGGGUGCGUAACGCGUGGGAAUCUGCCCUUGGGUUCGGAAUAACUUCUGGAAACGGAAGCUAAUACCGGAUGAUGACGUAAGUCCAAAGAUUUAUCGCCCAAGGAUGAGCCCGCGUAGGAUUAGGUAGUUGGUGAGGUAAAGGCUCACCAAGCCGACGAUCCUUAGCUGGUCUGAGAGGAUGAUCAGCCACACUGGGACUGAGACACGGCCCAGACUCCUACGGGAGGCAGCAGUAGGGAAUAUUGGACAAUGGGCGAAAGCCUGAUCCAGCAAUGCCGCGUGAGUGAUGAAGACCUUAGGGUUGUAAAGCUCUUUUACCCGGGAUGAUAAUGACAGUACCGGGAGAAUAAGCUCCGGCUAACUCCGUG